AUUCUAGUCCUAGCUAUGACACUAGUAACUUUUGAGACUCUCCUCCCUGAGCUUCCACUUGUAACUUGAACUUUGAAAGGCUAAGCUACUUUCUCCAGGCUGAGACACUUUGAGAAAUCAUCCAAAGGUAAAUGGCAGUUACCUGGAGACCCGCUGAACCUGACUUGAGGUCACUAAGUCGGGUCCAUUCAGAGUGCCGCUUUCCUCACCAGCGCCGGAGCUACACAGAAGGAGCUGCCCUGGCCCACAGAGCAGUAGCUCAUGGUCCUGUUAGCCAAAGGCCAAGCUUCUGGGUGCAACUGAAGAGACAUAGAUGAGGCCAAGUGGGUCCUAGGAAACGCAAUGGGGAAACUGAGGCUCUGAGGAAACGGGAAAAUGGCCAGAGGAAGGGACAGUGAAGAUCUUUUGCCAUAAUGUCACCCUAUAAACAUUUUGAAGGGAUUCCAUUGAUGUAAAGCAUAAAUACAUCCCUGUUGGGAAAGACAGGAGCAGUGUUUUCUGACUAUAAGGAGGGUUUGUUGGAGCUACCGGCGUGUGGAAGCAAUUUCAGGAACAACGUUGCCAGGAGGUUCUGGCAGAGAGAAUUCAAACAACUGCCAUAGGAAGUGGUUUCGAGCCUUCACAGGACACACAUGUUAAAGUGCCACAGUGGAACCUUGUCCUGGUGUGUGAUGGGAUUCUCAGGUCUCGAGAAGCCCAGUCUUAGAGGCAGGUCCAUCAGUGACUUUCACGGCAAAAAAAUUAAGACUGUAAUCUCCUUGAGGGCCAAGAUUCCUCUUUCUUAACCCCUCCCUACAUGCCCACUGGAAGGCCUGGGAUGGGUUUCCAAGCCUGGCACUGACAUGGAGAAAUAAUGAAACUUUUUAUGUCACACGGUAUACCCUUUCUUCUUUUCUUCAACCUAUCAAAGUGGGAGUUUGGCUUUGAAAAAUCUCCCUCGACUCCCUCUUUUUACAGGAGAGUGAGCAGGCCAAGCAAGGUGAAGUAGCUUACCUACGUGUCCAUGGUGAGCCUGAGGUAGAGCCAGAACAAGGACCCACUUCCCAUUGACCUCUGUCCAUUUCAGAAGGCAGCGUGUUUAAAUAGGAUGCUGGAUUUCUAAAGUUGCAUAAGGGAACAGUUGAAUCUGGAGAAAGGCAGGCCCAAAACAAGGCAAUGCAGGGAACUGUGAAGCAAGGCAAGG
rnacentral:lncRNA from 1 species